rnacentral:rRNA from 1 species
CCCUUAGAUGUCCGGGGCUGCACGCGCGCUACACUGAAGGAAUCAGCGUGCUAAAACCAUUGUCGAAAGGCAUUGGUAAACCCAUUAAAAUCCUACGUGAUUGGGAUCGGGAAUUGCAAUUAUUUCCGUUGAACGAGGAAUUCCCAGUAAGUGUGGGUCAUAAGCUCGCGUUGAUUACGUCCCUGCCCUUUGUACACACCGCCCGUCGCUGCCCGGGACUGAGCCGUUUCGAGAAAAGCGGGGACUGCUGCUGUCGGGGCUUUCGGGCCUUGGCUUCGGUGGAAACCGCUUUAAUCGCAGUGGCUUGAACCGGGCAAAAGUCGUAACA